rnacentral:misc_RNA from 1 species
AAAGUCGUAACAAGGUUUCCGUAGGUGAACCUGCGGAAGGAUCAUUCAUAAUAAGUGUUUUAUGGCACUUUUUAAAUCCAUAUCCACCUUGUGUGCAAUGUCAGUCGAUCUUCUUCAUGGAGAUCGACCAAACAUCAACCUUUAUUUUUUUAACUCUUUGUCUGAAAAAUAUUAUGAAUAAACAAUUCAAAAUACAACUUUCAACAACGGAUCUCUUGGCUCUC